rnacentral:lncRNA from 1 species
UGUUGCCACGGAGAUGACCUCUGACCCCGAAAGCAUGAGUGGCCCCUUUGCGGGUUGCCUUGGUUGCUAUGGCAACUGCAGUAUCCAGGAUCUUGGCGCUGGAGCAACUUGGGAGCAAGGGCUAGGGAACAGCUACUCUGCCCUCUUCUUUCUAGGAUGGGAACAUGGUUGUUCUGUGGAGCCCAGACUGCCCUAUCGAAGAUCCAAGGAAAUAAGUAACAAGUCAAAAACUUUGACAGAUUUGUAUGGAAAACACAAGGCAGAAAAUAUGGUUAUCACAUAAUUUUUCCUUACAAAAAGUUUAAUGACAUUGUAUUUCUCAGUAUAGUUGGAAAAACAUUGGAUUAGAAUGAUCAAAAUAGGCACUCAAGAAAUGUAACUCUACAACGUCAUAAG